rnacentral:rRNA from 1 species
AUUGAACGCUGGCGGCAGGCCUAACACAUGCAAGUCGAGCGGAUGAAGGGAGCUUGCUCCUGGAUUCAGCGGCGGACGGGUGAGUAAUGCCUAGGAAUCUGCCUGGUAGUGGGGGAUAACGUCCGGAAACGGGCGCUAAUACCGCAUACGUCCUGAGGCAGAAAGCGGGGGAUCUUCGGACCUCACGCUAUCAGAUGAGCCUAGGUCGGAUUAGCUAGUUGGUGGGGUAAAGGCCUACCAAGGCGACGAUCCGUAACUGGUCUGAGAGGAUGAUCAGUCACACUGGAACUGAGACACGGUCCAGACUCCUACGGGAGGCAGCAGUGGGGAAUAUUGGACAAUGGGCGAAAGCCUGAUCCAGCCAUGCCGCGUGUGUGAAGAAGGUCUUCGGAUUGUAAAGCACUUUAAGUUGGGAGGAAGGGCAGUAAGUUAAUACCUUGCUGUUUUGACGUUACCAACAGAAUAAGCACCGGCUAACUUCGUG